rnacentral:rRNA from 1 species
UACGUAGGGGGCAAGCGUUGUCCGGAAUCAUUGGGCGUAAAGCGCGUGUAGGCGGCUCGGUAAGUCCGCUCUGAAAGUCCAAGGCUCAACCUUGGGAUGCGGGUGGAUACUGCCGGGCUCGAGUCCGGAAGAGGCGAGUGGAAUUCCUGGUGUAGCGGUGAAAUGCGCAGAUAUCAGGAGGAACACCAAUGGCGAAGGCAGCUCGCUGGGACGUGACUGACGCUGAGACGCGAAAGCGUGGGGAGCGAACGGG